GCUCAGCCUCGGGCUCGACGGCCGGGGACGGCCGCCGGUGGGUCCUCGGCUACUUACCGGGGGGGAAGAGAGCCGGGAUCCCUGGGCCCCGGGCCGGACCGCGGAGAUGCCCCAAACUGACACGGCCGCCAUCUUGGAGACAAGUUACUAGCAACUGCCAACUCUUGAGAGUCACAUAGGACCAAGACUGAGGAUCUCUGCGAGGAAACAGUCAUGCUCAGGAAGAGGGUUUCGUCAAUCCUUUGUCAUGUUGGAAGGCAGUCAGACAAAGAAGGAAGAAGCAGAGGCUGUAACUAUUGUGGAGAGAGAAAGGAGAAUGUACAUAUUUAAACAGGAUAAAAAAGGUCUGAGUGGAAAGUUAGAGACUUUGGAAAAUGGAAAAUGCAAUGAAAUCAGCUUUCCUAGCAACUGUCGAAAAAUACAAUAAACAUUCAUU
rnacentral:lncRNA from 1 species